rnacentral:rRNA from 1 species
UACGGAGGGAGCUAGCGUUAUUCGGAAUUACUGGGCGUAAAGCGCACGUAGGCGGAUUUGUAAGUCAGGGGUGAAAUCCCGGGGCUCAACCUCGGAACUGCCUUUGAUACUGCAAAUCUCGAGUCCGGAAGAGGUGAGUGGGAUUCCUAGUGUAGAGGUGAAAUUCGUAGAUAUUAGGAAGAACACCGGUGGCGAAGGCGGAUCUCUGGGCCUUACCUGACGCUCAGGCACGAAAGCUAGGGGAGCGAACAGG